UACGUAGGGUCCGAGCGUUUGUCCGGAAUUACUGGGCGUAAAGAGCUCGUAGGUGGUUUGUCGCGUUGUUCGUGAAAACUCACAGCUCAACUGUGGGCGUGCGGGCGAUACGGGCAGACUAGAGUACUGCAGGGGAGACUGGAAUUCCUGGUGUAGCGGUGGAAUGCGCAGAUAUCAGGAGGAACACCGGUGGCGAAGGCGGGUCUCUGGGCAGUAACUGACGCUGAGGAGCGAAAGCAUGGGGAGCGAACAGG
rnacentral:rRNA from 1 species